CUGUUCCAGCCAAUAAUAUCAAGGUAGGAAGCAACAGGCAAGGAGUAGGAGCUGGAAGAAGCUCUGUGCUUUAGGAUUUGCUGGCUGCCAGAAAUGUGCUUAGGUCUGCCACAAGCAAUACCAGCUUCAGCAUCUGAUGAUGUGACACACUUUUAGGUUCCAAUAGCAGCUACCAGAAUCCACUGACAAAUCAUGCUGUAUCAGUAAUGGAGAUUUUUGCUAUGUGGGUUAUUCAAAUUGUACCAAAAAAAUGAAGCCAGUGUAUAUGGAUAUGGACCUUUGCGUGUGGGGAGAGCCGAUAUAUCAUGUGGCUCCUGUUGGGUUAGUGAGACCAAAAAAAAUGAAGCCAGUGUAUAUGGAUAUGGACCUUUGUGUGUGGGACUACCAAGAUAGAGAAAGGGAAAGGAUAAAUAUAAUGGGGCUUUCCCCACCUUCUGGUGUCUACUUCAACUAGUUUUUUGAGACUGCCAUUUGUCUGUUUUUUUCUUCUCCUGCCUACUUCCAUCUUUCUGGACUUGCCAACUACAGUAUGUGUCCAACAUGGGGGGAGUCAAAUUUGUGAGCACAUGACAUUGAAAGAAGCAAUCAGUAAAAGAAACCUGGGACAACAACAGAUUUCAGUGCAGUUUUUCAGAUUAACUGACAGAUUUUUUUUACCAUGGCAUCUAUAUACCAAGUGAACAAAAUCAAGGUGACUGUUAAAAACUCAGGGGUCUCCAACAAAUGUGGAACUUCCUUCUUCAAGACAUUCACAAAAACCUGAAUUAACACUUUAAGACUUUCUUGUAUGGGCUGAUAUAUGAUGGUGUGGUAAAAUAUGGGUCUUAAAAGCUGAUGGUGGUUAAUUAUCUGUUUUAAUUUAUUUUUAUUGUUUUUAUGUGCCAUAUUGCAUUGUUAUCCCCCUGGGGCCUGAUGAACUUGGUGCAUUAAAAAUCUAAUGAUUAAAAUA